rfam:Heterocephalus glaber contig24876, whole genome shotgun sequence.
GCUGGCAUGGUGGUGCACGCCUAUAAUCUCAGCACUUGGGAGGCUGAGGCAGGAGGAUCACUGCAAGUUUGUGAGGCUGGUGUGGGCUACAUAGUGAGUUCAAGUCCAGCCCGAACUACACAAUGAGACCCUGUAUACAGGGUCUCAUUGUGUAGUUCGGGCUGGACUUGAACUCACUAUGUAGCCCACACCAGCCUCACAAACUUGCAGUGAUCCUCCUGCCUCAG